UGAACUGAAGUCUCACCAGAGACAAAGAGUCCUACAUGUGCCGGCUGUAUGGUGAGGACAGACUGGGUGUCUCAGCUAAGGUAGGUGAGGACAGACUGGGUGAGGACAGACUGGGUGUCUCAGCUGAGGUAGGUGAGGAAAGACCAAGGGUGAGGACAGACUAGGUGUCUCAGCUGAGGUAGGUGAGGACAGACUGGGUGAGGACAGAAUGGGUCUCAGCUGAGGUAGGGGAGGAUAGACUGGGUGUCUCAGCUGAGGUAGGUGAGGAUAGUGGGUGAGGACAGACUGGGGUGAGGACAGACUGGGUGUCUCAGCUGAGGUAGGUGAGGAAGAUGGGUGAGGACAGACUGGGUGUCUCAGCUGAGGUAGGUGAGGAUAGACCGAGGGUGAGGACAGACUGGGUGUCUCAGCUGAGGUAGGUGAGGACGACCGACUGGAUGGGCAGCCUGCAGACCGGACACAGCUUGUUCCUCUUCUUCAGCU